GAUGAACGCUGGCGGCGUGCCUAAUACAUGCAAGUCGAGCGAACGGACGAGAAGCUUGCUUCUCUGAUGUUAGCGGCGGACGGGUGAGUAACACGUGGAUAACCUACCUAUAAGACUGGGAUAACUUCGGGAAACCGUAGCUAAUACCGGAUAAUAUUUUGAACCGCAUGGUUCAAAAGUGAAAGACGGUCUUGCUGUCACUUAUAGAUGGAUCCGCGCUGCAUUAGCUAGUUGGUAAGGUAACGGCUUACCAAGGCAACGAUGCAUAGCCGACCUGAGAGGGUGAUCGGCCACACUGGAACUGAGACACGGUCCAGACUCCUACGGGAGGCAGCAGUAGGGAAUCUUCCGCAAUGGGCGAAAGCCUGACGGAGCAACGCGGCGUGAGUGAUGAAGGUCUUCGGAUCGUAAACUCUGUUAUUAGGGAAGAACAUAUGUGUAAGUAACUGUGCACAUCUUGACGGUACCUAAUCAGAAAGCCACGGCUAACUACGUG
rnacentral:rRNA from 1 species